UUACACAUCAACCUGUAAAUGCUCUUUUUGCACAAUAUUUUUAUGUUUACUGUUCCUGCACUACCUACCUACCAAGUAUGUUUACGGUUUCCUUUGCACUACCUACCUAGUUAGAUAGUUUUAGUUAGAUAGUUAGUUUUUGUUAAUUUAUGUUGUAAUUUAUGUUAGGUCAGUCUGUCCUGUCUCUAGUUAGCUAGUUUAGUGAUUUUCUGUUAAUUUAUGUUGUAAAUUUAUGUUGCAUGUAGCACCUUGGCCCUGGAGGAACGCUGUUUCGCCUCACUGUGUACAAACUGUAUAUGGCUGAAGUGACAAUAGAGCUUGACUUGACUUGACUUGACUUGACUUGACUUGACUUCCAUCCAGUCCAGGCGAGCUACCUGUGUUUUUCCACGUUUUCCCUGCUUAUCCACCUCUGGGCAGAGCCCUCAUCAGCCCAUCUGCUCAUCUCACCUGGUGGAUCCAGGACAAUUAAUAAGGCAGUAUUUAAGCCCAGCGUCAACAUCUCUUCUCCAGCAGUUCAUCAGCUAAGCUCACCCAUCUCUCUGAACCAUCACUCCACUCGCCUGCAGCUCACAUUCUCUGGACACUGGUUACCAUUAGUCUUCGCUCUGUUCCUGGAUUCAUUCCUCCCCACCUGCCUGCCCUCCUGCCUACAGCUCCUGUAGAUCAGAUAAAACUGGUCCGACUCUCUCCACAUACCCACCUUCCAGGACGCCCACCCAGCCUUUCCCUUUCCCUACCGAGCCUCACACACUCCACCUGCCAAUUCCAUCGUAUCUGAGAUACUACACUAGUCAUUUAUCGUUUCGUAUCGUGUCGUUUAUCCUUGUGUUUAUCAAUAAAGCUUGAGAAUCCUUAUCACUGUUUUCCAUGUUUGAAUCUGCACUUAGGUGCACCUGCUGUCCUUCAUGACACAAUAAAAUGGUCAUACUUUUAAGGUUGUUGUGGUGACUUCAG